CCUACGGGUGGCUGCAGUGAGGAAUAUUGGUCAAUGGACGAGAGUCUGAACCAGCCAAGUAGCGUGAAGGAUGACUGCCCUAUGGGUUGUAAACUUCUUUUAUAUGGGAAUAAAACAGGGUAUGCAUACCCUCUUGUAUGUACCAUAUGAAUAAGGAUCGGCUAACUCCGUGCCAGCAGCCGCGGUAAUACGGAGGAUCCGAGCGUUAUCCGGAUUUAUUGGGUUUAAAGGGAGGGUAGGUGGAUUGUUAAGUCAGUUGUGAAAGUUUGCGGCUCAACCGUAAAAUUGCAGUUGAAACUGGAAGGCGGGAGAGCAGUAGAGGUAGGUGGAAUGCGGGGUGUAGCGGUGAAAUGUUGAGAUAUCACGAAGAAC
rnacentral:rRNA from 1 species